GACGAACGCUGGCGGCGCGCCUAACACAUGCAAGUCGAACGAGCGAGAGAGAGCUUGCUUUCUCGAGCGAGUGGCGAACGGGUGAGUAACGCGUGAGGAACCUGCCUCAAAGAGGGGGACAACAGUUGGAAACGACUGCUAAUACCGCAUAAGCCCACGGGUCGGCAUCGACCAGAGGGAAAAGGAGCAAUCCGCUUUGAGAUGGCCUCGCGUCCGAUUAGCUAGUUGGUGAGGUAAUGGCCCACCAAGGCGACGAUCGGUAGCCGGACUGAGAGGUUGAACGGCCACAUUGGGACUGAGACACGGCCCAGACUCCUACGGGAGGCAGCAGUGGGGAAUAUUGCACAAUGGGGGAAACCCUGAUGCAGCGACGCCGCGUGGAGGAAGAAGGUCUUCGGAUUGUAAACUCCUGUUGGUGGGGAAGAUAAUGACGGUACCCAACAAGGAAGUGACGGCGAACUACGU
rnacentral:rRNA from 1 species